AACGAACGCUGGCGGCAUGCCUAACACAUGCAAGUCGAACGAGACCUUCGGGUCUAGUGGCGCACGGGUGCGUAACGCGUGGGAACCUGCCCUUAGGUUCGGAAUAACUCCCCGAAAGGGGUGCUAAUACCGGAUAAUGUCUUCGGACCAAAGAUUUAUCGCCUUUGGAUGGGCCCGCGUUGGAUUAGCUAGUUGGUAGGGUAAAAGCCUACCAAGGCGACGAUCCAUAGCUGGUCUGAGAGGAUGAUCAGCCACACUGGGACUGAGACACGGCCCAGACUCCUACGGGAGGCAGCAGUGGGGAAUAUUGGACAAUGGGCGAAAGCCUGAUCCAGCAAUGCCGCGUGAGUGAGGAAGGCCUUAGGGUUGUAAAGCUCUUUUACCCGGGAUGAUAAUGACAGUACCGGGAGAAUAAGCUCCGGCUACUCCGUG
rnacentral:rRNA from 1 species